GGUUCUAUAGUUUAGUGGUUUAGCACUCUGGACUUUAAAUCCAGCAGCGACCUGGCUUCGACUCCUAGUAGAACAU
rnacentral:tRNA from 1 species